CUUAACAUCUACAUGCAUUAGUGGAUCUCUUUCCUCCCCUCCAUACCCGGGUUUUGGGCAAUAUAAAUACACAGCAGCAUAGCAUGUAUAACCAUGCAAAAAGAGAAUAUAAGUGACAACAUAUACACUACAAUAGUAGCUUCUAUUAAUCACCAUGAAGGGCAUUUUUAUUGCAUUUUUACUUUUGGCUUCCAUGGCCUUCCUACCCUCUUCAACUCUAGCAGCCCGUGAACUGGUAGCGGUCAAAGGAGAGAAAGCAGCAGUAUACGUAGUUGACCCUAAUAACCCAAAGGGGCCUCCUAGGACAUGUCCACCAAAAUUCCCUAUAAGGUGCCUCAAGCCGCCAGCUCCAAAGUAACAAAGUGUACAAUCGUGGCUGCAAAUGAUGACCAUCAAUGAAAAUUAUCGAUCUGUAUAACUCAAAAUUGUUUUAACGUGAAAUUGAUAGUUGAAAACUAUUACAUAAUUUGAUAGAUUGGAUUAAAUUAUUAUCUAAAAAUUAUUAAUUAUCAAUUUUAUAUAAAAAUAAUUGUAGGUAAGUUUCUACUGUAUACAUAUAUGUAUGAAGACAAAUAAAUUGGAUUUUAUCACUCAUGGAUCGGAGUGAUGAAGUAGCUUUCAUUAUUAGUCUAUAUAAUAAUAUGUAAAUAAUAAAACUCUCUUGAUGAUGAGUUUAAUUAAA